rnacentral:rRNA from 1 species
GACGAACGCUGGCGGCGCGCCUAACACAUGCAAGUCGAACGAGCGAGAGAGAGCUUGCUUUCUUGAGCGAGUGGCGAACGGGUGAGUAACGCGUGAGGAACCUGCCUCAAAGAGGGGGACAACAGUUGGAAACGACUGCUAAUACCGCAUAAGCCCACGACCCGGCAUCGGGAAGAGGGAAAAGGAGCAAUCCGCUUUGAGAUGGCCUCGCGUCCGAUUAGCUAGUUGGUGAGGUAACGGCCCACCAAGGCAACGAUCGGUAGCCGGACUGAGAGGUUGAACGGCCACAUUGGGACUGAGACACGGCCCAGACUCCUACGGGAGGCAGCAGUGGGGAAUAUUGCACAAUGGGGGAAACCCUGAUGCAGCGACGCCGCGUGGAGGAAGAAGGUCUUCGGAUUGUAAACUCCUGUUGUUGAGGAAGAUAAUGACGGUACUCAACAAGGAAGUGACGGC